AUGAUCUUCUGUCAGUCUCAGGGAUUUCAGCUCCAGGAAAGGAAAGAUUGAUCCAGCAGAUUAUAAUCACCACUGUACGAGACAGCGAAAGCAACGAUCUUCCCUGUAGCGGAAUGCCAGCUACUCUGGGACUCAUCAUCACCUUCAGCUGUGCUGGGAAGUCGUGGUGACUUAGCUCAGGUAUCACUGUGUCUCAUCAUGCUCCUGUGAUGCAAGGCACUGUUUUUUAAUAGGUGCUACGGUGGCAACUCCCAACCCAUGCUAAAACAACCAAAUGCUUCAGAGUUUCCAGAAUCAUCCUCAUUUCAGCCUUUUACUUCCCAUAAAAAGAGAAAUAAAGUGAAACUGAGGCUCACAUUUCCUCUCCAGACACUCCUGAUUUUUGGACUCUUUCUGUAGGACAGAGCAGCCAUCCCUGGACCAGUUCCUGGGGGAUGCUCUGCCCUCCCAGUGCCAUUGUGAAGUAGCAGCUGUACACCUCCAGACUAGGUGCCAUAUCAUGUCACAGUCACUGUGGUGCCAUAUCAUGUCACAGUCACUGUGGAUUCACAGAACUGAGACAUGCAGCAGUACCUCACAGCUCUUGUGUGGUUUCCCUCUCACAUGGGACACAGGACAGAGCCAGUUUGUAGCAAGAGAGGAGUCUGGACAAAGGCUGGUCAUAAAUUACCAAGGGUCAGAUACUUGAAUACACACUGGGAAAAAUUUGGAUAAAAGAUCAAAUCUAAGACAGAUUGAUCAACAACAGUAGCAAGGAACUUGCAGUGAAAAUUGCUGUGCUUUAGCAGCUCUCAGGGUACUUGGG
rnacentral:lncRNA from 1 species